GAGAAGGUCCAGUGUUUACUUUCCAAAACCAUGGCUGACUGUUUCAAAGUGACAGCAUGAGUUGUUCUGCAGUAAACUGAACUAACCGACAGAAGGACCCGAGGCUCCACCACACUUUUCUGGCUGUAAAUGUCACGGCUGGCGGAGUGAGCCGUGUGGAGUGGAGGAAAAGGAGGACCCAAAAUGCAGCAAACUGAUGAUACGAGUGAAGUUUAUUUACACGGUGGCAGUGGCAAAAACAGGCAAUGAAGCAUGAGUAAUGACAAACCUAAACUGGGAGAAACUAAAGAGCAAACCUGAAAUCUUACAAAACGGAGAGCGGAGCAGAGAGACGCAGACCAAGGACCAGGAUACCAAGAAACACAGACGAGCCGACCACGAACACAGACCGACACCCACACAAGGAUGUCCUUCAGGAAUGUUACACAAGAGGUCAAAGGAGCAGCCCUGUAUUACUGUGUGGAAGGGAGCCACUCGGGCUCAAAUGCUCUGAUGUCUUUGCGAGACAACAACAAAACAUACUGCUUUUCUUUGACUGGAACUGGACCUUUGUAUAUACAUUGACAACUGCAUAUCAGAAUCAGAAUACUUUAUUAAUCCCUAAGGCAAUUGUGUGGGUUACAGUUGCUCCAAGACAGUAACAGUAACAGACUAAACUAUUUAAAUAAUACAAUAUGGUACAGAGUUUACAAAUGUAAGGAAUAGCACUAAUAUAUACAAAUUGCACAAUUAUACAUACAAUUAUUAAGAAUAUUACAGAGGUGAUUAUACAUAAAUAUCAAGACUCUACCCUGUGAAGUUUGUCAUUUUCUACACACACACACACACACACACACACACACACACACACACACACACACACACACACACACACACACACACUUAACCCAAAGUCCCCUUAAAAUUAAAC
ensembl:lncRNA